AUGUCCUCAGGGACCCAUAGAUCUCUUUGGACACCCCAUAGAUGUCCUCAGGGACCCAUAGAUCUCCUCGGGGACCCCUUGGGCCCCACAGAACCCCAUAGAUCCCCCCCGUUGGGUCUGGAGACGUCCCAGUUUGGACCAGUACGGACCAGUAUGGACCAGUAUGGAUCAGUACGGCGGCCCAACUGGGAGCUCUUCACCCCCGUGGCCUUGCGUCUUCCCAGUAUGGACCAGUAUGGACCAGUUCAAGCAUCUCGCCUGGGAUCUCUUCACCCGCCGUGGCCUUGCCUCCUCCCAGUAUGGACCAGUAUGGACCAGUACGGACCAGUUACAGCAUCUCGCCCAGGAUCUCUUCACCCGCCGUGGCCUUGCCUCCUCCCAGUACGGAACCAGUAUGGACCAGUUAACAGCGUCUUGCCCGGGAUCUCUUCACCCGCCGUGGCCUUGUGUCCUCCCAGUAUGGACCAGUAUGGACCAGUAUGGACCAGUAUGGACCGGU
rnacentral:lncRNA from 1 species